GCUCCUGUAGUGUAGUGGUUAUCACGCAUCCUUCACACGGAUGAGGUCUCCGGUUCGAAUCCGGACAGAAGCA
rfam:Trachipleistophora hominis chromosome Tnknown scaffold00239, whole genome shotgun sequence.